UCAAAUAGCUAAUGUUACAAUCACCUUAUUAUUGUCAUAGCUGAACCGUAACCGAGUAGAAAAAGUAAAUGACAGGAAAAUAUAGUAUCUUUCCUUAAAGCAACAGGGACAUUUCCCGUUUUGGAUUAAUCCAGAUUCCCCAUUCUCGUGUAAGAGAAAUGCCCCAGCCACCCGUGCCCAUGUUCGCUCCUUGCUACCCUCAUCUCUCCUCAAAUUAAUUACUUUGCAUUGGUACAAUAUAGGGUUUGGGGGGGGNAGGGGGGGGAGGGGGGAUAAGCAUUACUCAUAGUAAUUCUUUAUGGAAAAAGAGACGAAAAGCAAAGCUCAAGUUGUCACAUAAUAAGGCAAGCAAUAACUGAUAAUGACUCGCAAUAACAAGUGCCAAACAUGCCAAUGUCACAAAUAUUCAGCAGCAAUAAAGCAAUCAAUCAAAAUAAUUACAGCAUCGUGUACCAUCAACAAACUAAUCUCCCUUCUAGAAGAUAUUAAUCACUUCUAAGAAAUUCUUGCAUGCAACUGUAUUUUGCUUUGUAUAUUUUUCCUUUCCAAAUAAUCCAUUUAUAGACUGUGUGUGCAUGCGCGCGUGCGUGUGUGUGUUUACUACAUCUUUCACAAGAGCUAAACGUAGUUGGUGUGUAAUUAGCAUGGCUGAUGGAAUAAGCAUCAAUACCUUNNNN
rnacentral:lncRNA from 1 species